UACGUAGGGGGCAAGCGUUGUCCGGAUUUACUGGGCGUAAAGGGCGCGUAGGCGGCCAUCUAAGUCAGACGUGAAAUCCCCCGGCUUAACCUGGGAACUGCGUCUGAUACUGGAAGGCUUGAGUAUGGGAGAGGGAUGUAGAAUUCCAGGUGUAGCGGUGAAAUGCGUAGAUAUCUGGAGGAACACCGGUGGCGAAGGCGGCAUCCUGGACCGACACUGACUCUGAGGAGCGAAAUCCAGCGGAGCAAACAGG
rnacentral:rRNA from 1 species